rnacentral:rRNA from 1 species
CCUUCGGGGUGGAUUAGUGGCGAACGGGUGAGUAACACGUGGGCAAUCUGCCCUUCACUCUGGGACAAGCCCUGGAAACGGGGUCUAAUACCGGAUAACACUCUGUCCCGCAUGGGACGGGGUUAAAAGCUCCGGCGGUGAAGGAUGAGCCCGCGGCCUAUCAGCUUGUUGGUGGGGUAAUGGCCUACCAAGGCGACGACGGGUAGCCGGCCUGAGAGGGCGACCGGCCACACUGGGACUGAGACACGGCCCAGACUCCUACGGGAGGCAGCAGUGGGGAAUAUUGCACAAUGGGCGAAAGCCUGAUGCAGCGACGCCGCGUGAGGGAUGACGGCCUUCGGGUUGUAAACCUCUUUCAGCAGGGAAGAAGCGAAAGUGACGGUACCUGCAGAAGAAGCGCCGGCUAACUACGUGCCAGCAGCCGCGGUAAUACGUAGGGCGCAAGCGUUGUCCGGAAUUAUUGGGCGUAAAGAGCUCGUAGGCGGCUUGUCACGUCGGAUGUGAAAGCCCGGGGCUUAACCCCGGGUCUGCAUUCGAUACGGGCUAGCUAGAGUGUGGUAGGGGAGAUCGGAAUUCCUGGUGUAGCGGUGAAAUGCGCAGAUAUCAGGAGGAACACCGGUGGCGAAGGCGGAUCUCUGGGCCAUUACUGACGCUGAGGAGCGAAAGCGUGGGGAGCGAACAGGAUUAGAUACCCUGGUAGUCCACGCCGUAAACGUUGGGAACUAGGUGUUGGCGACAUU